rnacentral:rRNA from 1 species
GCCAGAAGGUGCAAGCGUUAAUCGGAAUUAUUGGGCGUAAAGAGCGCGUAGGUGGAUUGAUAAGUUGGAUGUGAAAUCCCUGGGCUUAACCUGGGAAUUGCAUUCAAAACUGUCAUUCUAGAGUACAGUAGAGGGAAGUGGAAUUUCCGGUGUAGCGGUGAAAUGCGUAGAUAUCGGAAAGAACAUCAGUGGCGAAGGCGACUUCCUGGACUGAUACUGACACUGAGGUGCGAAAGCGUGGGGAGCAAACAGG